rnacentral:rRNA from 1 species
GAUGAACGCUGGCGGCGUGCCUAACACAUGCAAGUCGAACGGAGUUACGAGAGCUUGCUUUUGUAACUUAGUGGCGGACGGGUGAGUAAUGUAUGAGCAACCUGCCUUUCAGAGGGGGACAACAGUUGGAAACGACUGCUAAUACCGCAUAAUGUAUUUGGGUGGCAUCACCUGGAUACCAAAGGAGCAAUCCGCUGAAAGAUGGGCUCAUAUCUGAUUAGUUAGUUGGCAGGGUAACGGCCUACCAAGACUGCGAUCAGUAGCCGGACUGAGAGGUUGAACGGCCACAUUGGGACUGAGAUACGGCCCAGACUCC